AACGAACGCUGGCGGCAGGCUUAACACAUGCAAGUCGAACGCCCCGCAAGGGGAGUGGCAGACGGGUGAGUAACGCGUGGGAAUCUACCUUUUGCUACGGGAUAGCUCCGGGAAACUGGAAUUAAUACCGUAUGUGCCCUCCGGGGGAAAGAUUUAUCGGCAAAGGAUGAGCCCGCGUUGGAUUAGCUAGUUGGUGGGGUAAAGGCCUACCAAGGCGACGAUCCAUAGCUGGUCUGAGAGGAUGAUCAGCCACAUUGGGACUGAGACACGGCCCAAACUCCUACGGGAGGCAGCAGUGGGGAAUAUUGGACAAUGGGCGCAAGCCCGAUCCAGCCAUGCCGCGUGAGUGAUGAAGGUCUUAAGAUUGUAAAGCUCUUUCACCGGGGACGAUAAUGACGGUACCCGGAGAAGAAGCCCCGGCUAACUUCGUGCCAGCCGCCGCAGUAA
rnacentral:rRNA from 1 species